CUGUAGCUACAGGAGAGUUCUUCAGAAUUGAUUGUGGCAUCUCAACCGUGUGGUCAGAUCGUGGCCCGUGAUAUGUCGUGUGAAUUCUCCGGCCGAAGCU